GCCUCGGUAGUCUAACUGGGUAAGGACGCUCAUACGAAAUGUAAGAGAUCCGGGUUCGACUCCCGGCUGAGGUA
rnacentral:tRNA from 1 species